rnacentral:tRNA from 2 species
GCGGGCGUCGUUCAAUGGCAGGACCUGAGCUUCCCAAGCUCAAGAUGUGGGUUCGAUUCCCAUCGCCCGCUCCA